rnacentral:lncRNA from 1 species
GUUUCACCAGGCACUAAAUUUUGCAUGUGCUAAUUUCAUUUAAUCAUUACAAAAGCUGCACAGGAUGAAUGCUGCUAUUAUCCUAAUUUUGUAUGUGAUGAAAGAGAGACUCAGAGAGGUUAAGUAACUUUCUUAGAGCUAUACAGUUUAAGUGUUAGAGCCGGGAUUCAAACCCAGGCAGCAGGGGCUGGUAUCCGUGCACUUAGCCAUGAUGCUACAUUACCUCGCCAGACCAGAAAGCGUAGCCUCUUGGCUUUCUAAGGGCUGUUCAUUCUGUUCAGAAUCUACCUUCUUUCCUUGCCGUGACCCAUUUCCCUUUAUGAAUUUGCCAGUCUGGAUCUUUUUUCCCAUACUUUUUAUUGGUACAUUAGGAUUGUACAUGGUAGUGGAAUUCAUUGUUAGAUAUCCACACAUGCACACGGCAUGAUAAUAUAAUUUGGUCAAUUGCUUGUCCAGAUCUUAAUCUGCCCAUCCACGGGUACUUUAAGUAUCACUCCUCCAUCCCCAAAGCAUUCCUUUUUUGAGAUAGAAGUACUGUUAAUUUCCAUGAACAACUUUUUCUUUACUAGCUAGAAGGGAACAUUAUCAAAAGAAUCCCAGCUAUUUGAUAUCACACUCAGGUAGAUCACAGUCUUCAAACUCCCUCUUGCCUCACAGUGAAUGUCCUUCAACGUCACUUCCCCAGAAUGGAGCUGAGUCUUCUGCCACACACCCAGGAGCAGAUGUAGCACUGUUCUCUGACUGCACCUCCGUCUGACUUAGGAGCCUGGCUGCUUGGUUUUCUUUAAGCUUCCUGAGUGGCCUGUGUUUGCAGACGUCAUUUCCAGCACUGCAGAGUGUUAAUAAGAGAACCAGAAAAGAUUCACUAGACAGUCUUUUUCUACAUAGGAACCUGCAGGACAGUGGUUCUAACUAGUCGCAGCUCCAGUGACUUUGGGUAUACAGAUCCCCUUGCCCCUGUGUAGUCACCCCAGUCAGUCUCCCUAGGGUGGGGUUCAUUAUUUCAUACCCAAGAGACCAGAUCCAACUUGUCCUGAAAUUAGAAGCAAUUCAUCUCAGUCCCAGGGUGUCAUUUAGGCACUGGGUUGUGGGUAGGACAAUUACAAGGAGUUCUCUAGGUUAAGAUAAGCGCCAAGUAGGGCCGCCAUCCAGGGCAAGUAAAGCAGCCACCGGAGGGAAAAAACUGCAAGAGUCUAAACUCGGAAGAUUGUCUGCUCCUCAUUCUCCCAAUAUGAGAAUGUCUGGGUUCAGCAAGUAUUCUCCAGACUCACUGGCCUUAUACUUACACACACACUCACUGGCUUCUUCCCAGAAAUCCCUGUUGAAAGACACACGCAUCAGCCAGUUGCAGUGGCUCACGCCUGUAAACCCAGCAACUCACAAUGGGUCUAAGGCAGGAGGGUAGAUCACAGGUUCAAGGCCAGCCUCAGUAACUUAGACCUUGUCUCAAAAUAAAAAAUAAAAAGGGCUGGGGGGAAUGGGGUUGUGGCUGAGUGGAAGAGUGCUGACCUAGCAUGUGUGAGGCACUGGGUUCAGUCCUAAGCGCUGCAUAUAAAUAAAUAAAUAAAAGUCUAUUGACAACUAACAAAAUAUUUUUAAAAGGCAGGGGUGUUGGGGGGCUAGGGAUGUACUUCAGUGGUGGAAUGCCCUUGGGUACAAUCCCUAGUACCACAAAAAAAAAAAAAAAAAAAACCACACACACAUGGCUGUUGGCCAUCAUUGUGGACCACAC